GACGAACGCUGGCGGCGUGCUUAACACAUGCAAGUCGAACGAUGACGACCGAGCUUGCUCGGUCUGAUUAGUGGCGAACGGGUGAGUAACACGUGAGCAACCUGCCCUUCACUCUGGGAUAACCUCGGGAAAUCGGGGCUAAUACCGGAUAUGAGCUCCUGUCGCAUGGCGGGUGUUGGAAAGUUUUUCGGUGAAGGAUGGGCUCGCGGCCUAUCAGUUUGUUGGUGAGGUAGUGGCUCACCAAGGCGAUGACGGGUAGCCGGCCUGAGAGGGCGACCGGCCACACUGGGACUGAGAAACGGCCCAGACUCCUACGGGAGGAAGAAGUGGGGAAUAUUGAACAAUGGGCGAAAGCCUGAUGCAGCGACGCCGCGUGAGGGAUGACGGCCUUCGGGUUGUAAACCUCUUUCAGCAGGGAAGAAGCGAAAGUGACGGUACCUGCAGAAGAAGCGCCGGCUAACUACGUG
rnacentral:rRNA from 1 species